CUCUUGAUAUUUUGUUCCUCGUUGAAUUUUGUGACGAAAGAUCCAAGGGCAUCCUUCGAGUGCUUGAUUUUGGAUAAUCUGAUUUGGAGUCUUGGAGUUGUGAGACAUUUAGAUCAGGAGUAGAGGUCAGUGACGGAUAGCUUAGCAGGGAUCGUUGGGUCACCGUCAAUCUUCUUAGCAUGUGAUAAGUCCCGUUUGUUGUGGGCAUAGUUUUUAUUUGAUUAAAUUUGUAGCAACUGUGCAAGACAUUUAGUUAUU